UACGAGGGGGGCGAGCGUUGUUCGGAAUUAUUGGGCGUAAAGCGCGCGCAGGCGGUCUUCCAAGUCAGUGGUGAAAGCCCGGAGCUCAACUCCGGAACUGCCAUUGAAACUGUGAGACUUGAGUAUGAGAGAGGUGAGUGGAAUUCCCAGUGUAGAGGUGAAAUUCGUAGAUAUUGGGAAGAACACCGGUGGCGAAGGCGGCUCACUGGCUCAUUACUGACGCUCAGGCGCGAAAGCGUGGGGAUCAAACAGG
rnacentral:rRNA from 1 species